CGGCAACCCGCGGCUUCCUCUCCCUAGAGACCUGCCUCUUUGGGUUUCUUUGGCACAGAAACCCAAUUUGUCUUGGUUUUGAGUCCCAGAGGAUCCAGGAGAAUUACUAGAAGGCAGGGCAUUUAGCUCAGUGGUUCCGCUGCCUGUCUCACAAGCGCAAGGGCCUAAAUUCGAUACAAGAGGUCAUGGUGCCUUCAUUAAAUUGGAAAAAGUAUAACUAAAUUAAAAAACAGGACUCAUAAGUUUUGCUCAAAAGAAGCUUAAAGAGGACAUAUCAAGGACAAUGAGAAAGCCCCACCAAGAUACCAAAUCUUCACUUCAGUUAAUGUGAAGUUCUACUUCUACAAGGAAAAAGAUAAUGCAGUUUUUGUCUGUCUUACGCUGCUGCCAGAAUGUGAGGAUGUCUUCUAUAACCGAGUGCCUUGGAUUAUAUCUUAGUCUACUUGGUGUUGUGCUAACAAAUAUUGUUGAUUCAUUUAUUAACCAUUCUGAUUUAGGAUUUUAGAAGCAUGUAUAAAGAUAUUGCAGGGCUGGGGAUUUAGCUCAGUGACACCGUGCCUGCCUCGCAAGCCCAAGGUCCUGAGUUCGAUCCCCGGUACCCCCCCAAAAAAAUAUAUCACACAUUAUAUGUAUUUAUAUAGAGAUGUAUAAAUGUAUAACAUCAAUAUUCCAGGAUAGACUGACACAUUUUAAAGCAUAAUGUUGUGGGACUGUAUGAUUCAAAAUUCAUUUAUUCCCCUAGCCUCUGUUAUGUUUAAAAUUUAAUGGUUAGAAUGUGCUUGUUAGUCUUGAAAUAGUAGAUAAAAUCUGCAACAAAGCAAAGUUCCUAAGUAAAUCAUUCAACCCCUUGUUUGUCCGGAGAACGAAAAUUCCCGGACCCACUAUCGGUAGAACAAUUCAUCACUGUGUCUGCUGAUCAUCAGUACGUGACGGUCGUGACCAUAUGGUCCUGACCAUUACUGUGUGUCUGCUGACCGUUAGUACGUGACAGUUGACCACCAACCUUUGUUCCUUGUUUUCCGUAAAUCUUCAUGUUAACCUCCCCCUCAACCCCCUAUAAAAACAGCCUCGGACUCUGAGCCAGUUGCCUCUCUUAGCUACUUUGCUUUGGGAGUGCCGUCUGGCCAGACUAAUAAAGGUCUGUUUUACUUUCCAA